rnacentral:tRNA from 2 species
GGUGGGUUAGCUCAGCAGGUAGAGCAAUAGGUUGAAGCCCUAUGUUAGCGUUGGUUCAAUUCCAACACCCACCACCA